rnacentral:misc_RNA from 1 species
GCGAGUCUAACUCUCUAUAACCAUUGUGAACGAACGCAAUGUUGCUUCGGCAGAGCAGGUCUUACAGGCUUAACGAGCCCUGGGGCCUCCUGCCGAUAGAACGUAAACUCUUGUUAUUAUUGUUUCUCUGAGUAGCUUAUUUAAUAAGUUA